UGCGGAGGGAGCUAGCGUUGUUCGGAAUUAUUGGGCGUAAAGCGCGUGUAGGCGGCUUUGCAAGUCGGGUGUGAAAUCCCUCAGCUUAACUGAGGAAGUGCGCCCGAAACUGCCGAGCUUGAGUACCGGAGAGGGUGGCGGAAUUCCCCAAGUAGAGGUGAAAUUCGUAGAUAUGGGGAGGAACACCGGUGGCGAAGGCGGCCACCUGGACGGAUACUGACGCUGAGACGCGAAAGCGUGGGGAGCAAACAGG
rnacentral:rRNA from 1 species